rnacentral:rRNA from 1 species
CCUACGGGCGGCAGCAGUGAGGAAUAUUGGUCAAUGGCCGGAAGGCUGAACCAGCCAAGCCGCGUGAAGGACGAAGGUGCCACGCAUUGUAAACUUCUUUUGUCAAGGAACAAAAUCAGGCUCGAGAGCCUGACCGAGGGUACUUGAAGAAAAAGCAUCGGCUAACUCCGUGCCAGCAGCCGCGGUAAUACGGAGGAUGCGAGCGUUAUCCGGAUUUAUUGGGUUUAAAGGGUGCGUAGGCGGGCGGUUAAGUCAGCGGUAAAAGCCCGGGGCUCAACCCCGGCGAGCCGUUGAAACUGGCUGGAUUGAGAUGGAGAGAGGUAUGCGGAAUGCGCGGUGUAGCGGUGAAAUGCGUAGAUAUUGCGCAGAACUCCGAUUGCGAAGGCAGCAUACCGGCGGCGAGCUGACGCUGAGGCACGAAAGCGUGGGUAUCGAACAGGAUUAGAUACCCGGGUAGUC